AUUGAACGCUGGCGGCAUGCCUUACACAUGCAAGUCGAACGGCAGCGCGGGGCAACCUGGCGGCGAGUGGCGAACGGGUGAGUAAUAUAUCGGAACAUACCCUAGAGUGGGGGAUAACGUAGCGAAAGUUACGCUAAUACCGCAUACGCACUAAGGUGGAAAGUGGGGGGAUCUUCGGACCUCAUGCUCAUGGAGUGGCCGAUAUCUGAUUAGCUAGUUGGUGAGGUAAAGGCUCACCAAGGCGACGAUCAGUAGCUGGUUUGAGAGAACGACCAGCCUCACUGGAACUGAGACACGGUCCAGACUCCUACGGAGGCAGCAGUGGGGAAUUUUGGACGAAUGGGGGGCAACCCUGAUCCAGCAAUGCCGCGUGAGUGAAGAAGG
rnacentral:rRNA from 1 species